AGAGUUUGAUCAUGGCUCAGAACGAACGCUGGCGGCGUGGAUAAGACAUGCAAGUCGAGCGCUAAUUUCGGGGUAGCAAUAUUCCGGAGUUGGAGCGGCGCAAGGGUGCGUAACACGUGGGUAAUCUGCCAUGAAGUCUGGAAUAACUUGCUGAAAGGCGAGCUAAUACCGGAUGUGACCAUCGGGAGGCAUCUCCUGGUGUUUAAAGCUGGGGACCGUAAGGCCUGGCGCUUCAUGAUGAACCCGCGGCCUAUCAGCUAGUUGGUGAGGUAACGGCCCACCAAGGCUAAGACGGGUAGCUGGUCUGAGAGGACGACCAGCCACACUGGAACUGAGACACGGUCCAGACACCUACGGGUGGCAGCAGUCGAGAAUUUUUCACAAUGGGCGCAAGCCUGAUGGAGCGACGCCGCGUGGGGGAUGAAUGGCUUCGGCCCGUAAACCCCUGUCAUUCGCGAUCAAACCUUGCUAUUUAAAAGAUGGUGAGCUGAUAGUAGCGGAAGAGGAAGGGACGGCUAACUCUGUGCCAGCAGCCGCGGUAAUACAGAGGUCCCAAGCGUUGUUCGGAUUCACUGGGCGUAAAGGGUGCGUAGGUGGUGAGGUAAGUCGGAUGUGAAAGCUCGGAGCUCAACUCCGAAAUGGCAUUGGAAACUACCUUGCUCGAGGGUUGGAGGGGGGACUGGAAUACUUGGUGUAGCAGUGAAAUGCGUAGAUAUCAAGUGGAACACCAGUGGCGAAGGCGAGUCCCUGGACAACUCCUGACACUGAGGCACGAAAGCUAGGGGAGCAAACAGGAUUAGAUACCCUCGUAGUCC
rnacentral:rRNA from 1 species